UGCUCACUGCUCUUUAUAGGACGUCCCAGGCUGUGGACAUGCCAACUGAGACAUGCAGCAUUUGGGAUCAGCUUUGUACUUUGUGUAUCAUGCAUCCUGGUGAAAACCAUUGUGGUUCUGGCUGUGUUCAAGGCCUCCAAGCCAGGAGGUGGAGCCCAUCUGAAGUGGUUUGGACCACUGCAGCAGAGAGGAACAGUUCUGGUUCUUACUUCUAUUCAGGAAGCAAUCUGAACUGCUUGGCUUGUCUCUUCCUCACCAGCUCCUCAUAAAAACACUCAAUACCACAAUGACAAGAUAGUUUAUGAGUGUGUAGUUGGGUCCACAAUUGGUUUUGGAGUGUUACUGGGUUAUAUUGGCUUACUGGCCAUCCUCAGUUGUCUGAUUGCAUUUCUCGCCAGGAAUCUUCCAGAUACUUUCAAUGAGGCCAAACUCAUUACUUUCAGCAUGCUGAUCUUCUGUGCAGUGUGGGUGGCCUUUGUCCCUGCUUAUGUCAGUUCACCAGGCAAAUAUGCAGAUGCAGUUGAGGUAUUUGCCAUCCUAGCAUCCAGUUUUGGCCUCUUGGUGUCACUGUUUGGACCCAAAUGUUACAUUAUCCUGUUGAGACCAGAGAGGAACACAAAGAAAGCGAUCAUGGGUCGUGGCAUUGAGUCAUAAAACCUGCACUUAGUUUCAUAAGACAGAAUUAAUCAAUCUUCUCUGUACAGUACAAAAAUACAGGCAGAAAAAUAGGUUAAGAGUAGUAGCAAUGUUCAAUUACUAAGAAAAAAUGGCUAAUAAUGAACUCAAAUACAAGAAGUUAUUUUUUUUCCCAGGAUACAGUUUAAAGUACAAAGCACUUGCACUUCAAAUAUUAUCGCCUUUGCGACUUUUUGUGGUGAAUGGUAACGGUACACCUUAUUAAAUAACAACUUACUUUCUCAGAAAAAAAGCUGACACUAUAUGGGUUUAUCCCACAUUAUUAUAUGCAUUUAGUCUUGACCUGUCUGAAGCAGAUGUUGAUUUUUUUUCACAGACACAAAGUCAGUCUUUUAAAGAAGCAGUAAUCUGUAGCUUCCUAAGUACAGUAUAAAGGAAUUGCAGACAAUGUUGAUAGAAUAGCACAGUACCAAAUGAAAGCAUCUGAGAUGCUGGCUGUGAUAGCAUUUGCCUAUUCUGACUAUAUAGAGCCUCUAACUCUCACUAAGUUAGCAGUUGUAAGAAUGGCACUGUCACAAGGUUAGAAAGCUCAUGUUUACAACAUAGAAUGAGAUUUACAAAUUCUAUGUUCUAUUUAACACCAGCUUUGCUGUCUCUAUAAGCAUAAUAAGGUUAGAGUUAUAUACCCUACUUACUGUUUUAAUGUUGGCAUUAUGUCUGAUAUCAGUUAUUAUGCUUAGUAUCCAUGCCACAGAACUUCACGAUUAUUUUAAAGCAAUUGCAAUGCACAAGAGACUUGGUGAUCAUAAGCUGAAGACUACUUCUUUAUUUCCAUGAACAUCACCAGUGUCCUUUUUCAUUUUUUAAAUAAUUCAAUUAUUGCAUUUUUACCCUGAAGAGUAGCUCUGCAGAUGUAUGAAAUGAUUUUCAUGCAACAAUUGAGCAUAGUGGCUGGGGGGGACAGGCCAUUUGUUGCUUAUAGCAAGCUUAUAUCCAUCCACCAGCAUUUGAAUUCUAAUGUAAACUUCUAGCCACUGAUGAAAUGGAGAAGUGGGAUAACCAGUUCUGUGGAAGAGGCUGAAUACAUAAAAGUUUACAGUGUUCUGAAUGUUAUUUUUGUGUUUGUGUGUGUUUGUUUUGUAGCAGCAUAGAGGUGUUUAUCCUUUGUGAUUUGCCACUGUUUAUAAUGAGCGCCGCUGGUGGCCGCUGAUGAGGUGGGCCAGUAUAAAAGCGGCAGUUCACCCACCAGUUCUUCCUUUGCGCCUCUGUCACCUCUGUCACUUCCGGGUCAGCGGUCAUUUGAUCCGACAGGGCGACUGCCUGUGUGCUGCUCCGGCCCCCCCUGUAUGCGCUGCUGCGUGUGUCUGUGGUAAAUGCUGGUGGCUGCCAGGGGUCCUCUCUCCCUCCCUCCUCUCGUGAGUGUGUCCAUCGCUGCUAAAAAGUGGCUGGAGGCCGGUGGUGGCGGUGUUGGUGAUCUGGUGUUGGCACCCUUCUGUCUUGUCUGCUGUGUUCCUGGGAGUGGGUUACUUCACUGAGUGUGUGUCUGCCAUGUGUGUCUGGUGAUAGAAAUUGACUUCUGUUUUUUUUUUUUUUUUGGUGGAUCCUUCCCCUGCACUAGGCCCCGUCCAUCAACUAGGCCUCAGCCCUGAUUAGUUUCUUUUUCCCCUCCCUAUGUGACAUUUUAAUUACGGCUUUUACCCAGUUUGUUUAAUAAAACGUAUUUUUUAUCAAUUGGAA